ACAGAUUCACAUCAAAACUAUUAAGAGUUUUGAUUUGAUUCAAGGCCAAUAACUGUGGCCUAAAAUAUAGUAUUUCAUUCCUAUUAGGAAGGAGAAGCUGCAGAGCCUAUAUAUAGAGGCUAAAGACUAUACAGAAAAGGGGCUCUCUCAUAUCAAUCAAUCCUAGCGAUUACAAAGCCUCCCCGGAGCAAACCUUCAACCUUGUUGAAACCCGGUGACCGUGCGCCAGUCCUAGUCUCUCCAAGAGCCGACUGUCAGCAUCACCAAACCAACCGGCGACCGUACUUCCAGUCCCAGUCUCCCCAGGAGCUGACUGCGAGCGCAACCGCCACUGUUACUACCAGCGAAGCAAGGGUAACGCCCUCGCAACCCAGCGAAGCUAAAGUCACGCUUUAGCGCAACCCGUGCUUUCUCCAAACUUCCCAGUGAUUGCUCUGCUUAGUCUGCAAUACUAAGUAUCGAUUCGGUGACGCGAAGAGGUCACAUCCAAAGUCCUUAUCCGUAAGGCAAAAGUCCUUUUCCGAAAGGCUAGAGAAGAACCUUGUGACGAGGUUAGUGCUCUCCUCGUCCACAGCGCUUGAAGAAGAAGUCAGGUCAAGGGACUACCCCAACGACUGCACCCCGCGGUGCUGGCACGCCUGCGCAAUCACUCGCUCAAAAGAGACAGUUUGCAAGCCAACUGGUUUUGGAGCCAAACAUUUUGGCACGCCCAGUGGGACUGCACUAGAGUCUUUUUGUAAUCACCAUCAUUGGGAUGCCAGAGGGAAAUCUUUACCAAAGGAAAUUCCUAAAGUGAAAAAAUGGCCAAUGUUGCCACCAUUGGCGACACUACGACAAGGGAGGCUUUCGUUGCGAAGCCUAUUCCAGAGGGAGCAACCACCGAGGUCGCUCUCGCGAUCAUGAGGGAAAACGUUGAAAAUCAUAGCAGGUGGUUAGCCGCUGAUUUAGAAAGAAAACAGGCGAGGUUAGACCAGAUCAUACGCGAAACAAACCAGCGCAUAGCCCAACUGGACGACGAGUCGAAAAAGGAAGCGAUUGAGUCUAGAACGCAAGCCAGAAGAAUCGCUGAGGAGCAUACUCAGCAACAAAAGCAGGUCGUGGAGGCCAUCGCAAGCCAAAACAAGACUGCUCAAGUCAGUUCGCAUCAAGGCGAAUUGGAACGUCAAGAAGCUGCUCGCGAAGAGGUUGUUUCUGAGACUGAAUUGCCUAUUGGUGGCAAUCAAUCCAAGGGUACUGAUCAAGCCAAAUAUGUGGCUACUAAUCAGAUGCAUGGGGGGCAAGAUGCAGACCACGUUGAUUCCCAUGAUCAACAUAAGCAAGUUCAUGUUCAAAUUAAUUAUGAUUCGGCUGCUGGACGCCACCUUGAUCAAGAAAUUGAUCAUAAUCAUGGUCAAGAACAUGACCCACUCAAUUAUGACCAUGCAGGGGAUCAAUUAAAGCAUGGCCCACCUUGCAAUCAUCAAUUUUGCCUUGGCCAUGCUACUGGACGUCAUGGUGAAGAUGGCCACAAUCAUGGCCAACUUAAUUAUCAAUUAAGUUGUGGUCUUGGGAAGCCAAUUUGUGGCUUUAUUAAUCAAUUCUACUUCAAUUUCUUCAUCAGUGCUUCAAGGCCAAGCGGUGGUUUUGAUAUAUGUGGAGGAUACAUAUGCAACCCACCUUGCAAGAAUGGCCAGAAUAAUUAUUCUAGUGGCCAAUUUGUCCUUCGCGACUGCAAAUUUGAGUAUCAUCAAUACAAGUUAACUCUUGUUUACAAUUAUCAAGCUUCAAAUUUCUGGCAAGAGAAAUUUAUUUAUGAUACUAAACAGUCCAUAGAGGCGUCUCAAUAUGAUGCCUGGAAAGAAAAUAGAGGCAAACAAAUAUUUGAUAUGCCUAUUUGUGAAGAAGAGAUCAAUUCAUCAAAUUUUGGUGAUUCUAAAUAUGAUCUCAACAUGGAGCCAAUAUAUGAUGAAUAUGAUGAUGAUUACAAUUUAAUUAUUGGUUCCAAAAAUCAUAUGCAGGAGUACAAGUCCUUUGAGGCUCUUGACCAACAAGUGGUCAAGUACAAUAGCCAAUCUGUGGCUUAUUCUGAAGACACCAUGUUCUAUGAUAUGGUAGUUGGCAACAAAGCCGAUCUUGGGACAUCGUUAUCUCCAAAAUUGCAAUUGAAGAUCAUGCUUCGUCAACCAACAAAGAUACUUGGGGGGCAAUAUUACUCCUUCUACGAGCCAAAUUUCUUCCAAGUUUUCGACGCGAAGUAUCUUUGUUACAUUCCGGCAAGCUCCCGCAAGAGAGGUUUUCAUGCUAUAAAUUUUGAUGCAUCGGAGCUUGGAGUGAAGCAUAGGUGGCCUCCCCCGUGGCCUUCUAGAGGUUAGCCAAACGCACUGCUGCUAGCUUCUUUCUUUGCUUUUAACUCUCUGUCAAUUUUCAGCUUGCAUCUUCCUUUUAGUUUAAAAAAAAAAAAAAUAGAAAAAGAAAAAAUACAAAAAGAGUUUCAAAUUGGUGCAUCGCAGAGGAUGCAAAAAUUGUGUUCUUGCCUAACAGUGGCUUGAACUUUCUGAUAUACUUAGAGGCCAUUAGUUUUGGCCUGGGCACAUAUACAAGAGGCAUUUAAUAUGCUUAAUAUGGCAUCAACAAUACUUUUGCCAAUAAUUGUGGCGAAAAUAGAGGGCUGCGCUUAAAGCCAGCGAAGUGGUUUUGAUUGCAUGGCCUCGCGAAGAGGGUUCGCGAAGAUUGGUGAUUAAUCGUUCACUGCUCGCAUAUAUAUGAAGAAGGAGAGCACGUGGUCUCUCAGCAUGCAGCGGCUGCAGAUUGUUCGCGAAGCUAUUUGACAUAAUUAUCAACACCGCGCUACUUGAAUAACAUGGAAGCACGUGAUGACGACAUUGAAGAGCUUCUACAAAGCACCGCGAAGAUGUAGGGCCAGCGAAGUGGUGGCUUUGAUAGCAUUGGUUUAAUUGCCUUAAUCAUUCCAAUCAUAGGUACAUGAAGCAUUAUAAGUGCACACAUGAUAAUUCUUGGGUUGCUUAGUUGUUGGAGCCAUACGUAUCCCUCAGCUUUGGCAUAAAUAUAUAUCAGAUGAUGCUAGCUGGCUUAAUUGUCAGCACUUGCCGAAGACACCCAGCCUUCAUUGCAAGACACUCUGCCAAGGGUGGUCGCGUGCGCGAAGAGUCCAGAAAGGGACCAUCAAGUUAGCAAACAUUCGCGGGCGGAGCCCAUUAUCAUAGCGAGAGAGUGGCCGCGAAGCGCGAAGGCGAGUGGCCGCAAAGCGCGAAGGCGAGUGGCCGCGAGCGAGUGCUCGCGAAGGAGGCUGCGCGACCGCGACUGUUUGUGAUAAACGUUUUCGCGAAUGCUUUCUAGCGAGCACUAAUCGAGCAAGCGGAGUUCACUGAUAUACCUCGCCUGGGCUUCGCCAGCGAGCUUCGCCAGAAAUUUCCAACAAGCUAUGCUCCAACCGAGGCGAAUUCGAUCUAUAGGGCCAGCGAAUGGUCUUUAAUGGAUAGUAUGCCAGUACAGUGGCAGAAGUCGAGACAGAGACAAGAGAAAGGGAGGUUCUCAAUGCCAUAGCAGCUUCAGAGAGAGUUAUAAUCCCGUCGGCGAGGAAAGAAGCAGAUUGAUAUCCAGGGGACUCCAUAUCCAGGCAAGAUUAAUCCACAGCUCCCACUGCCGCUGCGAGGAAUCAAGCGCAAUCUCCAGGAAGUAACUAUUGUUUCAUUGUUUGUACACUGGUUGUUGGUAAAUUAAUCUCUUGUGGGUCAUUCUGUUGAGCCAUAGUCAAAAAUCUGCGAAUCUGGGAUAUGCAUACAAGGUGUUUGAUGGAGUGCCUGAGAGAAACAUCUUGUGAAGAUAACGCGCGCAGGCUUUGGGGGCAUAACUGUUGCCUCAAGAUUACAAUCCUCAACAGAACACAGUGGUAGUCUCGUGGUGAUUUCGCAUGGAAUGUGAAGAUUUCAUGAGAAGAUUAGUAGCAGCAGUGUUCCUUGGUUAGUGCUUCACAAAUGCACCAUGGGAUGUCAACUACACGCAAGUCAGCAGAUUGAUGAUUAUCACAAGUGAUGUAUGCCAAUUACAGCGACAGUGCGCAUUGAUUUGCAGAGAAGGCAGCUACAUUGAAUACUGCAUAGCUCGAACAUUCUCCCAGGUAUCAGAGGCUUUGAGCCAAUGGGUGGUUUUUGCUUAUAUGCAUAUUUGAAUGCCUAACUGAUGGCUAUAUGUAUGUGUGCCAGUCUAGUGGCUAAUGCUUUAUAUAGGCCAUCAAGCUCUUUAUUAAGAGAUUCAAAUAAUGAAUUGCAGCGUGUUCUUACCCACUGGGGGAAGCAUAAAAGAGGCUUGAAAUCGUUUGGUUAGCCUAAUGGCUUUUAUAUAUAAGCGUGUACAGGGUGCCUAUAGAGGUACUGAGACCAAAGGCAAUUUGGCGUUGAGGCGUAUUUAAGUUAUAUUCAACCAGCAGCAAGCGAUCAGUCGCAGGCCUAGAUCACAAUUAUGAAGGCUCGUCAGCAUUUGCUUUAUACAUAGGCUGAUAAGUAGCCUAGUCUGGGGCUGCUGCACGUCAUGAGCAGGCUUAGCUAGACAUGAUGUUAGCUCGAUUUGAUCACUGCAUGUUCUGUUCAUGACUAUUUAUGGUUGAUGUUCUUCAAUAAAAGACUACGUCGCAACAGCUUCGUGGCAGCAACUGAAAGCAUAAAGAUGGUGUUUUGGUUUGAUUCAUAAAGGACAGAGCUGGAGGUGCAAUUUUCUAUUGCCAAAUAUUAACCACAAAUCACGGGGAGAAAAGCAGGAUUGAAGUUGCAGGACCACCAUUCCUCCUUUGUCAAAGAGUUCACACCUACAGGAAGUAGGAGGUGAUCUAAUUUGGCUUUAUAUAUAUAUCAACACAGGGCCUACCUUGUGGCUACAUGUACUUUAGUCAGGUUGAUGGCUAUGAGCAAGUGCACCGGUGCUAUUUUGCCCGGGCACCAGCUCAGCUUUCAUUGAUUUUGACUGGGUAUAAUCAAAAUCAGGCUUCCACCGGUCCAAUUAUGACUGGGCAAACUUUGGCUUGGCAUGACCCAGGUCAAAUUAAUGGGCAAGCCCAUGACUAAACUCUUGCCCGGAGGCAUCUGGCUGCCAGCUGAAGGAAGAGAGGAACGUGGGUGAUGUCAUUGGCUGACGCACCUUAUCAAACGCGUUGCAAGCCCAGAGUGGAGGACACGGCUCAAUAGAAACGCGCCAUGUGGCCAAGCAUCAGACUGAAAUGCAUUUUUGUCGCGUAGCGACAGUGAGUGAGCUCAGGGGACAGGUGGCAUCGGGCCGUUGGCUUGUUCAGAAAAUUUGAAACCAACGGUCCUUUAAUCUGGGCCGUUGGUUUCAAUUAAUGUUUACAAUCCGACGGUGGAAUUAAUAUGUAUAUAUAUGAAUGAUGCUGUUCAGAAUCCAACGAUAAAAACCAACGGUAGUUUUUAAUAUGUAUAUACAUUAAUUGUAACGGUAAGAAACGGUAAGAAAAAAAUUGUUAAAAAAUUCUAAAAAUUUCUCUAUAAAUACCUAGCAUUUUCUUGACAUCUCACACCCAAAAAAUUAGAGUUCAUAGUUACACAUUCCUCCUCUUCAUAUAGCUCUCACCAUUCAAUUUUUUCAUUAUCCAAUAUGGCCGAACAAAUGGGAAACACACGUCCAGUGCCCGGACAAGAGGGAGAUCAAAGUGAAGAUACCCAAGAUAAAAGGAGAUGGACGGAUGAGGAAGAUGUUCAAUUGUGCAAGUCUUGGAAAGUUGUAAGCCAAGAUCCGGCUGUGGGCACAAAUAAAAAAAAAAACGACUUAUGGUUGCGAGUGAAGCGACACUUUGACGCAAAUUGGCCCAAGAGCCGAACAACCCAAUCUUUGCAGGGAAGGUGGAAAAUUUUGAAGGUUGAACUUUUUGAGUGGCAUUGUGCAUUAAGGCAAGCGAAAAAUUGGUACAAGAGCGGUUCGAAUGCGGUUGAUGAGCAAGAUGAAGCACAAAAAUUGUGGCAUAACGGGAUGAAGAAAAAAGGGAAGAUCAAAAGACACCUGUUUCAGAGUUUUGAUAGUUACGCUGUUGUGGAGGGCUUUGCACAAUUUAAAGACUUCCCUAGCCAUACAUCCGGAGGAACAUCAAAUGUAGGAAGUCAACAUACGCACACACAACCAAUUGCUGAAAAUUCCCCCAUCAACUUGGACAUGGAUGUAGAUGAGGUAAUUGCAGGUGAAACUGCAGGUCCAAAUGUGAGGCCUCAAGGAAGGAAGGCUGCGAAAGAAGCAAUCCGGAAAGCCAAAAAGGCAGCGAAAGAAGGAAGUCCUUACUCAAGCAGUCUCGAGAGUAUAGCGAACAACCAAAUAGAGGCAACGAAGGGCAAGAAAAAACUCGAUGACGAAUUCGCUCGAAGUCUCCAAGAGGAAGAGAAAAGAGCAUGUAUCCUCUUGCAAAUCGAAAUGCGAAAAGAGCAACUCCUAUUUCAAGAAAGGCAAGAUCGAAUUAAAGAGAUGGAAGAGCGUAUUAAAGAGAGGGAAGAGCGUAUUAUGGAGAUUGAUACAAGUAAAAUGACGCCAAAUAAAAAGCGUUAUUGGUCAAGAAAACAAAAGAAGAUAACGGAGAAAGAAGAUCUUGACGAGCAGCCGCCACCUUCUAUGGGUGGAUACUAUCCGCAACCAAAUUUUGGUGGUGCAUUUCCACAACCAAAUUUUGGUGGUGCAUACCCACAACCUCCUUACCCCGGUGCAUUCCCACAACCUCCCUUAACCGGUGGAUUCCCACCACCUCCCUUCACCGGUGGAUUCCCACAACCCCCUUACCCCGGUGGAUACUAUCCGCAACCACCUUACCCCGAGGGAUAUCCUACACAACCACAAUUUUCACCUUUCUCUACGGGUGAGUCCACCAACCCGUACCCUAACCCUAAUGAUGAGCCUUCAAACACAAAUUACCUUUCUAGAGAGGAUGAGGAUUAUGAUUUGAACAAUUAGGUUAUUAUGCAUGUUUGUUAUUGUAUUGUACUUUUUCCUAGUUUUUCAUUUAUGUAAGCGACAAUUUAAUGAAAUAAAAGUUGUAUUUGGAAAUUCCAUGUAUUAAAGCACACACCUUAUAUUCAAAUAAAUAACACAUAAUAAACAUAAAAAAGAACAGUAAAUUUAAAUAGUAAAUUGCAUAAUUAUGACAUUAAUUAUCCGUAAAUAUAUUUUAUUUGUU